ACGCUGGCGGCAGGCUUAACACAUGCAAGUCGAGCGGUAAGGCUCCUUCGGGAGUACACGAGCGGCGAACGGGUGAGUAACACGUGAACAAUCUGCCCCGCACUUUGGAAUAACCUUCGGAAACGAAGGCUAAUACCAGAUACCCCCCGCGGUCUCGCAUGAGUCCGCGGGAAAAGCUCCGGCGGUGCGGGAUGAGUUCGCGGCCUAUCAGCUUGUUGGUGAGGUAAAGGCUUACCAAGGCAUUGACGGGUAGCCGGCCUGAGAGGGUGACCGGCCACACUGGGACUGAGAUACGGCCCAGACUCCUACGGGAGGCAGCAGUGGGGAAUAUUGGACAAUGGGCGCAAGCCUGAAUCCAGCAACGCCGCGUGAGGGAUGACGGCCUUCGGGUUGUAAACCUCUUUCAGCAGGGACGAAGCGCAAGUGACGGUACCUGCAGAAGAAGGACCGGCCAACUACGUGCCAGCCGCCGC
rnacentral:rRNA from 1 species